AUGGAGGAGAUCCGCUUCCCGCGCACGCUUGGUCCCGAGGCCAAGUCCUUGCUCUCGGGGCUGCUCAAGAAGGACCCCAAGCAGAGGCUUGGCGGGGGUUCCGAGGACGCCAAGGAGAUCAUGCAGCAUCGCUUCUUUGCCGGCAUCGUGUGGCAGCAUGUGUACGAGAAGAAGGUGCGGCUGCUCCCCGCAUAUCCACGCACACGCGUGCACCCCACAUAGCCACACUCACGCAUGCACGUGGCACACUCGCUGGAUUUCCCACACACUCGCCCUCACCUCAGGAGCCUGCUGCAGUCCUGGUACAAGGAGGGCCUUGCUGCACCAACCUCAGCGCCUGGUGCUCAGAGGCUGGCACUGCUGGGCUCCACCAGGAAACUGGCCUGGUCCUCCUUAUUUCCUCCUCCCCUCAGAGGUGUGUCACACUCUGAGUGCCAACCUUGGGGGUCCCUUCCCUGACGCUGUGCAGUGAAGGCUGGCUGGUGGUGGACCAGGGGUGCUGCCCCUUGGUCUCUAUGAGUUCCUCCUGUUUGACCUCAGUCCCUUCUGCCACAAGGAGAGCCCAGCCCUACUGUCUGGCUGUGCAGGGACAGGGGACAGCACCUACUUUUCUGGCACAUGGGGGAGUCCGUCCUGGAGGGAGGCAGCUCUUUCUGCAUGAGUCGCCAUCCUGGGUGCUCAUCUUUCAGGGACGCUAGGAGCCCUGGCCAUCACCCCGGCUGAUGGGGUCUGCCAGCUGGGUUCGGAAGCCUGCACUCUGAGGUGCUGGGUGCCCUGUCACCAGGUGUGCUUCUGUCCCAUUCCCAGCGUGCCCCUCCCUGAAUGCCUGUCCUAGGCCAUGUGCAGCUGGUUGGGCUAGGCAGCCCUGGGACCCAGCUGGGCACCUGUCCUCCCAUUAACACAGGGUGCCCUGGCCCUGGUCCCAGUUCCUGCCUUGAGGCCUGCCACCCUCCAGCCCUGCCCUGCCCUCCAAGGGUAUGGGGGGCCUGGGCAGCACUCAACCUCUGCCCAGCCUUGACCAGAGACCUUGCUAAUUGACAAUGGACAGUGCUGGUGCCCAGGCCAGACUCUGGGGUGGGGCAGUGCUUGAGAGGGUCCUUGACUGUGGGACCUGAGGGGCUCUCUGGCAGCUCCUCAGGUGGGCACAUCACCUUAUAGUCACCCUUGAUCCUGGGUCAGUGAGAGUCCUGUCUGCAGCCAGAUGCCAGCAGGCUGUGGUCCUGUAGUCCCUGAGCUGUGGAGGCAGGGUGGGCUCAUCCUGUGCACCUUGUUCCACAGUCUCCCUCUUUCCCAAUUUACAAGAAGACCAAUAAGAAAAAUAAAACAAGAAAGAAAAAGGAAAAAUAAAGUCAUCACCUCCUGGUAGCAGGGAGGGUCUCAGAGCUGGGCUGCACUACCUCCUGUCGCCUGCUGGGGCUGCUGUGAGGGCAGCUUUGCGUCUCAGCUGAUGAGGGUUAUCUCCAUGCUCCUGCACCCCUCAUGUCCCUCCCCUCCCAGAGCUGCCUCUGUCGGGGGCUGGUGGCUUGCUGCUCUCUGACAUCAGUCCUGCCUGGAGACUCCUUGGAGAUCCAGGUGCUUUGAGGGUCUUGAGCACACUUGAGGGUGUGUUGGGAGUGGGGAGCGAAGCUCAUGACUGUCCCGUCUGCCCACCUCUGCAGCUCAGCCCGCCCUUCAAGCCCCAGGUCACAUCGGAGACCGACACCAGGUAUUUUGACGAGGAGUUCACGGCCCAGAUGAUCACCAUCACACCACCUGACCAAGGUGAGGGGCCACUGUGCCUGCCCCUGCCCACUCCCUUUUCUCUCCACACUCAGAGAGGCCUGCAGUGUUCAGCUUUUUUGGCUUCAGAUGUUUUAAAAUCUAAAUCUUUAAAAAGGUUCCUUUUGGAGAGUGCCAGUUAUCAGGGUGGGAGGCAGUGCUCUGAGGGCCCAGGUCCCUGUGUUAAUCUGUGGGGCCCUGCCUCAGUUUCCUGGCAGUAUGGCAGCGUGCUGGCCGCGCUUUAAGAGGUUGGCUCCCUACUGGAGCUGUGGGUGGGUGGAGGUGGCAGAGAGGUGGGGCGCCCGGGUCUGAGCUGUCUACACCCACAGACGACAGCAUGGAGUGUGUGGACAGCGAGCGCAGGCCCCACUUCCCCCAGUUCUCCUACUCGGCCAGCGGCACGGCCUGAGGCGGCGGUGGACUGCGCUGGACGGUAGCUUGGAGGGAUGGAGAGGCGACCUCGUGCCAUGAUCUGUAUUUAAUGGUUUUUAUUUCUCGGGUGCAUUUGAGAGAAGCCACGCCGUCCUCCUGAGCCCAGGUGGAAAGACGUUUUUGUGCUGUGGGCAGCACCCUCCCCCGCAGCGGGGUAGGGAAGAAAAUUGUCCUGCGGGUUUUAAUUUAUUUCAUCCAGUUUGUUCUCCGGACGUGGCCUCAGCCCUCAGAACAAUCCGAUUCACAUAGGGAAAUGUUAAGGACUUCUGCAGCUAUGCGCAAUGUGGCGUUGGGGGGCCGGGCAGGUCCUGCCCACGUGUCCCCUCACUCUGUCAGCCAGCCGCCCUGGGCUGUCUGUCACCAGCUAUCUGUCAUCUCUCUGGGGCCCUGGGCCUCAGUUCAGCCUGGUGGCACCAGAUGCAACCUCACUAUGGCAUGCUGGCCGGCACCCUCUCCUGGGGGUGGCAGGCACACGGCAGCCCCCAGCACUAAGGCCGUGUCUCUGAGGACGUCAUUGGAGGCUGGGCCCCUGGGAUGGGACCAGGGAUGGGGGAUGGGCCAGGGUUUACCCAGUGGGACAGAGGAGCAAGGUUUAAAUUUGUUAUUGUGUAUCAUGUUGGUCAAAUGCAUUUUGGGGGUUUUUAAUCUUUGUGACAGGAAAGCCCUCCCCCUUCCCCUUCUGUGUCACAGUUCUUGGUGACUGUCCCACCGGGAGCCUUCCCCUCAGAUGAUCUCUCCACGGUAGCACUUGACCUUUUUGCCGCUUAACCUUUCCGCUGUCGCCCCGGGCCCUCCCUGACUCCCUGUGGGGGUGGCCAUCCCUGGGCCCCUCCACGCCCUCCUGGCCAGACGCUGCCGCUGCUGCUGCACCACGGCGUUUUUUUACAACAUUCAACUUUAGUAUUUUUACUAUUAUAAUAUGAAAAUUUCCCUCCAAAUUCUUCAAUAAAAGUUGCUUUUC
rnacentral:sRNA from 1 species